CACAGUUGUUGCCUAGUGCAAGGCGACAGUAGGACAGAGGGGUUCUACCCUAACAUUCUCUUUUCAAGACUACAGGGACAGUCUUAUUUCCUACUUGCCUCAGGCUCCGACCCCUGGGAUAUGUGUUCCCACUCCCUAGCAGCAAGGGAAGAAUGAGUGGCUUUUCUGUGCUAGCAGAACAUCUCACUCCUCAGAUUUUGACUUCUCUUGCCUCUUCUUGUCGGUGUUGGACACGGCCAUCAGUAGACACAGUUCUGAGCAAUCACCGAGGAAGGUUUUUCUUAUGCACUGUGGUAAUUGUGUCAGAACUCAAGGCAGUCCCACCGGUGUUCAGGUUUCAUCUGCCAUUCCCAGAGGAUUUCAUUACUCCCGCACAACCCUUUUUUCCUAGCAAGAUUUCACAUUGCCAGCUGGUUUUGCUGCUCAAGCCAGG
rnacentral:lncRNA from 1 species